UACGUAGGGUGCGAGCGUUAAUCGGAUUUACUGGGCGUAAAGCGUGCGCAGGCGGCCCGUUAAGACAGGUGUGAAAUCCCUGGGCUCAACCUAGGAAUUGCGCUUGUGACUGGCGGGCUCGAGUACGGUAGAGGGGGGUGGAAUUCCUGGUGUAGCAGUGAAAUGCGUAGAGAUCAGGAGGAACACCGAUGGCGAAGGCAGCCCCCUGGGCCUGUACGGACGCUCAGGCACGAAAGCGUGGGGAGCAAACAGG
rnacentral:rRNA from 1 species